UCCGGAAUCACUGGGUGUAAAGGGUGCGUAGGCGGUCCUGUCCCGACCUAGUCGGGAUUUGCUAGUCUCUUGUUAAAGCUCGGAGCUUAACUCCGAAGAUGCAGGGGAAACGGCGGGACUAGAGGGUGCGAGGGGUCUGUGGAACUCAUGGUGUAGGGGUGAAAUCCGUUGAUAUCAUGGGGAACGCCAAAAGCGAAGGCAGCAGACUGGCGCACACCUGACGCUGAGGCACGAAAGCUUGGGUAGCGAACGGG
rnacentral:misc_RNA from 1 species